UACGUAGGGGGCGAGCGUUGUCCGGAUUCAUUGGGCGUAAAGAGCUCGUAGGCGGUCUGUCGCGUCUGCUGUGAAAACUCAGGGCUUAACCCUGAGCUUGCAGUGGGUACGGGCAGACUAGAGUGCGGUAGGGGAGACUGGAAUUCCUGGUGUAGCGGUGAAAUGCGCAGAUAUCAGGAGGAACACCAAUGGCGAAGGCAGCUCGCUGGGACGGUACUGACGCUGAGGCGCGAAAGCGUGGGGAGCAAACAGG
rnacentral:rRNA from 1 species